rnacentral:lncRNA from 1 species
UCGUCAAACUACAGCAACCUCAUAGUGAAUAGCUGAGGCAUCGCAAAUCAAAGAACCAGUCAUACAACUGCAGCAUAAGUAGUCACUGACGAGUGGAUGACAUCCAUGUGACUACUAUCUUUGGUCACACUCAGUACUUUGUUCUCUAACAAGUACUUGCAUAAUCACUCCAAUGUCUCUAAAUCGUGGACUCGAGACUCGUCUAUCUGACUAAAUGAUCUGUGCACUAAUCUCAGCGGAUC